GCGGUGACAACAUCCUCAAAAAUCCAAAGACAGGUAGAUAACAUUAUGGAUGUAAAUAUAGAGUGAGAGAGGAACAAAUAAAGGCCAAGUUUUGUAGAUUCACUUAGUUUUUUAUCUACCCAAAAUCUCCCACUUUGCAUGUUCUGUCCUUUUAGUCACGUUCAAUUUCGUGGCUAUGUCUGUUGAAUCCUCAUCCACCUCCGUGGCCGUCACAGAUGGACAAUCCAAGAAUUUCAGGAAGCCCAAAUAUUCUAGAUUCUCACAGCAAGAACUUGAUGCCUGGCAACCAAUUCUAACACCUAGUUGGGCCAUUUCAAUAUUUACUGUUAUAGGACUCAUCUUCAUUCCUGUUGGUCUUGCUUCAUUGUUUGCAUCAGAGAGUGUGGUGGAAGUGCCAUUUCGAUAUGAUGAUGAAUGCCUUCCACCUGAUUACAAAGAUGAUGCACUGGAAUAUAUUCAAAACGACAACAUAAACAAAACUUGCACCAGGAACUUGACUAUUAAGAAUAAAAUGAAGGCCCCUAUUUAUGUCUAUUAUCAGCUUGGUAACUUUUACCAAAACCAUCGCCGAUACGUUAAAAGUAGAGAUGAUAAACAACUGAGGAAUAAAGCAUCAGAGAAUGAUGUAGGCUCAUGCAGUCCUGAAGACUAUACAUCAACUGAAUUGGGCCAUAAACCAAUUGUCCCUUGUGGCAUUAUUGCAUGGAGCCUUUUUAAUGACACAUACAGAAUUUCAAGCAAUAACAAAGAUUUGGUGAUCAACAAAAAGAACAUAGCAUGGAAGAGUGACCAAUUGGCGAAAUUUGGGUCCGAUGUUUAUCCUAAGAAUUUUCAGAUUGGAGGUUUGAUUGGGGGAGCUAGACUUAAUGAGAGCAUACCUUUGAGUGAACAAGAGGAUCUCAUUGUUUGGAUGAGGACAGCAGCACUUCCUACAUUCAGAAAACUAUAUGGAAAGAUUGAGACUGACAUUGAAGUUAAUGAAGAAGUAAUGCUUGUAAUAGAGAACAAUUAUAAUACAUACGAGUUUGGAGGAAGAAAGAGCCUGGUUCUUUCAACCACAACUUGGGUUGGUGGAAGAAAUCACUUCUUGGGGAUGGCAUAUAUUCUCAUUGGUGGGGUUUCCUUGUUGUUGGCAGUAGGUUUCCUACUUCUAUAUGUGAUGCAGCCAAGACCCCUUGGUGAUCCAUCAUACUUGUCUUGGAACAGAAAUCCUGGAAGUCUAAGAUGAUUGGAUUUCAUCUUUUGACUUGUUUAACAAUACAUUAUUUCUCAUGUCUCAAGAAAGGAAUCUGUCACGAGGCUUGUACUUGGGACUAAGGUGAUGAACUUUUGUUCUUGAUGUAUCAUACAACUUUCCCCACUAUUAAUAUAUGGGUUUAUCGGAUGAGCAAUUGAACGGAGCACUUGAAGAAAACAGAAAAAGAAGAUGAGAAAUAUUUUCUCAAUUGUUUCUAUUUUAUAUUUAAAAUAAUUUUCAAAUUUUAAUAAAUUUUGGAUGAGAAAAUGAUCGCUGAGUUGUGUAGAAUUGUUUCAUAAAGUAGUUUUUUUUAUUAAAAAAAAAAAAAAAA